rnacentral:rRNA from 1 species
AACAAACGCUGGCGGCGUGCCUAAUACAUGCAAGUCGAACGGGGAAAGCUUUCGGGUGAGUACUAGUGGCGCACGGGUGAGGAACGCGUGGGUAAUUUUCCUUGAAGUGGGGGAUAACUAGUCGAAAGAUUAGCUAAUACCGCAUAAGACCACGAAAUCUGAGGAUUUUGAGGUGAAAGGUUUUUCGCUCCAAGAUAAGCCCGCGUAAGAUUAGCUAGUUGGUGAGGUAAUGGCUCACCAAGGCGACGAUCUUUAGCUGGUCUGAGAGGAUGAUCAGCCACACUGGAACUGAGACACGGUCCAGACUCCUACGGGAGGCAGCAGUAGGGAAUAUUGCACAAUGGAGGAAACUCUGAUGCAGCGACGCCGCGUGAGUGAUGAAGGACUUCGGUUCGUAAAGCUCUGUCGCAUGGGAAUAAUAAAUGAAGGUACCAUGCAAGAAAGGAUCGGCUAACUUCGUGCCAGCAGCCGCGGUAA